rnacentral:rRNA from 1 species
AUGCAAACAACGCAAUUGGAGGCGCUGCGAGCAGCACAACAGGUAGAUGACUACAGCAGCAAAGCACCCCGCUACGAGCAGCACAUCAAUAUGAGUGGAGAAAUGCAAGCACCAGAAUGGCAAACCGAAAACUCAGUAGUAAGGACUACAGCGAAACAAGCUGAUGCCAAAGGAAAAGGGAUAGCAGAAGAAAGUUCAGAUCCAUCAAACAGCGAUAGCGAUGAUGAACCGAUGGACCCUAGUGUUGGGCUUGGCCUUAAUUUGACGAGGACUGACAGGAGAGGGGGACCCAACCUAGCACAGAACGCGCCCACCGGCAUUAUGAUUGGAGAUGAUCUAGGCCGAGCCCGCGUUACAGGCCCACGUAGCAUGAACCGGCUCAGGCAACGGCUACAGCCUAGGAUCAGCAAUGGUGGUGAAACUGUGUCAAACAUGGCCCGAUUCUCUGCUCAGACCUCAUGCAGAGUUGCAAUGCUUCGUAGCAGGGGGGACUACCUCAGAGCCGAGCUACAAGAACUCGAGGCUAAAGCGAAAGCAGACCUUGAAUACGGGGCAAUUCAUGGAAUUCUACCAUCUCGUAGAGGAUCAUCAUCUGCCGCAGUUGACAUGAAUGCCGAGGGAGAAUCUGAACCAGAAAGGAGGGAGCGCGUGCGGAGCUUAUCUGCCGCUGCACUAGCUGUGGUAGAACAAGCAAUUGGCAAUCCAGAACUUUUUGAAGGCAUCUUUGAGCAGGCUCGGUUGAUGCUAUCAGACCUAGGAGUGGAAGGGUACAACGAAGAUCAUGGAACGGGAGUUGACGCAAAUGGGAACAACACGCCACAGAGAGAUGAUGAUGAUCGCAUCAACUGGGAAGAGCUGGAACAUAGCAGCCAGGAACACCGUCAACAUAUCAGUAGUCAGGCUGUGGGGGCAUUGAUUGUCACUGACAGCAACCUAAGAGCAAUUGUGAAAGCAAGUGAGCAGGCAGCGACGAGUCGGAGUCUGUUUUAUGAGAAAUUUAACAACAUAGAUGGAAGGAAUCUACUGCCCUUGUUUGACGAGGAUGAUGCAGACGACGAGUCAUCAGAUGUUCCACCAGGGGUGCCUACUGAAUACAUAAUCGAUGAAGAUGAAUCAACGGACUUGGAUGAAGAGUUCCUUGCCGUGGCAUCACAAGUGCCGAUCCACUACAUGGAAGAAGAUGAGAAAAUGGAGGAUGGAUCAAAUUUGAUGGGAUUAAAUAAUUUAACUGAUUUACUAGCUUCAUUGAACACAUGCAUCCGGUGGAUUGCGUGGAUCGGAGCCGUGUUGGUAGUUGGAAGCGGAAGGGAAGGAGAUGAGUUGGACGAAGACCCACCGUUGAACGGCCUCAUCUUGCUAGGCGGUCAUGGUGUUAAUGACAAUUCAGAUGGUGAACGCGACGGAAAUGAGAACCGUUCCCUUGAGCAACGGAGGGCACGUGCACGUGCCUUUGAUAUUGCUGCAACCUGUCAUCCUGGUCUUUCCUUUCAUCGUGAAAACGGAGAAGCGGAUUGUCCACUAUAG